rnacentral:rRNA from 1 species
GGCGGCAUGCCUAACACAUGCAAGUCGAACGAAGGCUUCGGCCUUAGUGGCGCACGGGUGCGUAACGCGUGGGAAUCUGCCCUUGGGUUCGGAAUAACAGUUAGAAAUGACUGCUAAUACCGGAUGAUGACGAAAGUCCAAAGAUUUAUCGCCCAGGGAUGAGCCCGCGUAGGAUUAGGUAGUUGGUGGGGUAAAGGCCUACCAAGCCGACGAUCCUUAGCUGGUCUGAGAGGAUGAUCAGCCACACUGGGACUGAGACACGGCCCAGACUCCUACGGGAGGCAGCAGUGGGGAAUAUUGGACAAUGGGCGAAAGCCUGAUCCAGCAAUGCCGCGUGAGUGAUGAAGGCCUUAGGGUCGUAAAGCUCUUUUACCAGGGAUGAUAAUGACAGUACCUGGAGAAUAAGCUCCGGCUAACUCCGUGCCAGCAGCCGCGGUAAUACGGAGGGAGCUAGCGUUGUUCGGAAUUACUGGGCGUAAAGCGCACGUAGGCGGUUAUUCAAGUCAGAGGUGAAAGCCCGGGGCUCAACCCCGGAACUGCCUUUGAAACUAGAUGACUGGAAUCUUGGAGAGGUCAGUGGAAUUCCGAGUGUAGAGGUGAAAUUCGUAGAUAUUCGGAAGAACACCAGUGGCGAAGGCGACUGACUGGACAAGUAUUGACGCUGAGGUGCGAAAGCGUGGGGAGCAAACAGG